GGAAGGGUGGCUGAGUCCGGUUUAAGGCACACGACUCGAAAUCGUGCGUAGGGAAACCUACCGUGGGUUCGAAUCCCACCCCUUCCG
rnacentral:tRNA from 1 species